GACAUACUCAAUUUAUUUAUCACCAUCUGUUUAAUUUUUUAAUACUGAAACAAUGCCAUUAAUUUAAAAAGGCAAUACAAUCCACUUAGAGAUUACCCAAUCCAACUUAGUACAUUAUGACAGUUGUUUCAAAGAACCUGUGAGUAUCUCAAAAUUGCAUCAAAAGUUAUACAACUCCUCAAAAACCAUUUCUGUUUAAAUUAUCAACCAAGGGAUCUUUUAAACUUCAGUUCUUUAUAUACUAAAUUUAAGUGAAUUAAACAACAAAGUAUAACUUUCACAAGAAGGAUUCAAUACAAACAGCUAGAAGCACUAAACCUAAAAAGAUGUUCUAUCUAUCA
rnacentral:lncRNA from 1 species